rnacentral:pre_miRNA from 1 species
AAAUUACUCCCUCCGUUCGGAAUUACUUGUCUUGGAUAUGGAUGUAUCUAGAACUAAAAUACAUCUAGAUACAUCCAUUUCUGCGACAAGUAAUUCCGAACGGAGGGAGUACUUG